CCUACGGGAGGCAGCAGUGAGGAAUAUUGGUCAAUGGACGCAAGUCUGAACCAGCCAUGCCGCGUGCAGGAAGACGGCUCUAUGAGUUGUAAACUGCUUUUGUACGAGGGUAAACGCAGAUACGCGUAUCUGUCUGAAAGUAUCGUACGAAUAAGGAUCGGCUAACUCCGUGCCAGCAGCCGCGGUAAUACGGAGGAUUCAAGCGUUAUCCGGAUUUAUUGGGUUUAAAGGGUGCGUAGGCGGUCGGAUAAGUUAGAGGUGAAAUCCCGAGGCUCAACUUCGGAAUUGCCUCUGAUACUGUUCGGCUAGAGAGUAGUUGAGGUAGGCGGAAUGUAUGGUGUAGCGGUGAAAUGCUUAGAGAUCAUGCAGAACACCGAUUGCGAAGGCAGCUUACCAGGCUACUUCUGACGUUGAGGCACGAAAGCGUGGGGAGCGAACAGGAUUAGAUACCCCAGUAGUC
rnacentral:rRNA from 1 species